rnacentral:rRNA from 1 species
GACGAACGCUGGCGGCGUGCCUAAUACAUGCAAGUCGAGCGCACAGGCUUGGUACUUGUACCUCCUGGAUUAGCGGCGAACGGGUGAGUAACGCGUGGGUAACCUGCCUUUGAGCGUGGGACAACAUCUGGAAACGAAUGCUAAUACCGCAUAAUAACUUUAAACACAAGUUUCAAGAUUGAAAGAUGCAUUUGCAUCACUCAAAGAUUAUCCCGCGUUGGAUUAGCUAGUUGGUUAGGUAAAGGCCCACCAAGGCGAUGAUACAUAACCCACCCGGGAGGGGGGAUGGCCAAAAUGGGAACGGGACACGGGCCAAACCCCUACGGGGAGCAGCAGUAGGGGAACUUCGGGAAAGGAGCGAAGGCUGACCGGAGCAAGGCGGGUGGGGUGAGGAAGUUCUCCGGAUGGAAAAACCCUGUUGUAGGGAAGGAACAUGGGUGGAGGGGAAUGCGCAUCAAGUGACGGUAACUACCCAGAAAGCGACGGCUAACUACGUG